GGACAAUGGGCGAAAGCCUGAUCCAGCAAUACCGCGUGUGUGAAGAAGGCCUUCGGGUUGUAAAGCACUUUUAUCGGGAACGAAACGUGUCGUCAAUACCCGGCAAAACUGACGUACCCGAGACAGCCGUCAGAGAGACUGU
rnacentral:rRNA from 1 species